rnacentral:misc_RNA from 1 species
AACAAGGCGUACCUGCGGACCUGCGGAGGGAUCAUUACAGAGUGUAAAAACUCCCAAAACCCAUGUGAACAUACCUUUUUGUUGCUUCGGCGGGAUCGCCCCGGGCGCCUUGUGUGCCCCGGAGUCAGGCGCCCGCCGGGGGACCCAAACUCUUGUUUUUAACGAGUAUCUUCUGAGUAACGUUUUUAAAUAAAUAAAAACUUUCAACAACGGAUCU